UAGCAACGUGCUCCGACUUCGCUUGGC
rnacentral:sRNA from 1 species